rnacentral:rRNA from 1 species
UACGUAGGGGGCUAGCGUUGUCCGGAAUCAUUGGGCGUAAAGAGCGUGUAGGCGGUCCGGUAAGUCCGUUGUGAAAGUCAGGGGCUCAACCCUUGAAUGCCGGCGGAUACUGUCGGGCUAGAGUCCGGAAGAGGCAAGUGGAAUUCCCGGUGUAGCGGUGAAAUGCGUAGAUAUUAGGAAGAACACCAGUGGCGAAGGCGACUACCUGGCCUGUUCUUGACGCUGAGGCGCGAAAGCUGGGGGAGCAAACGGGGAUUAAGAAACCC